rnacentral:rRNA from 1 species
CCCCGGUAAACGGCGGCCGUAACUAUAACGGUCCUAAGGUAGCGAAAUUCCUUGUCGGGUAAGUUCCGACCUGCACGAAUGGCGUAAUGAUGGCCAGGCUGUCUCCACCCGAGACUCAGUGAAAUUGAACUCGCUGUGAAGAUGCAGUGUACCCGCGGCAAGACGGAAAGACCCCGUGAACCUUUACUAUAGCUUGACACUGAACAUUGAGCCUUGAUGUGUAGGAUAGGUGGGAGGCUUUGAAGUGUGGACGCCAGUCUGCAUGGAGCCGACCUUGAAAUACCACCCUUUAAUGUUUGAUGUUCUAACGUGGACCCGUAAUCCGGGUUGCGGACAGUGUCUGGUGGGUAGUUUGACUGGGGCGGUCUCCUCCUAAAGAGUAACGGAGGAGCACGAAGGUUGGCUAAUCCUGGUCGGACAUCAGGAGGUUAGUGCAAUGGCAUAAGCCAGCUUGACUGCGAGCGUGACGGCGCGAGCAGGUGCGAAAGCAGGUCAUAGUGAUCCGGUGGUUCUGAAUGGAAGGGCCAUCGCUCAACGGAUAAAAGGUACUCCGGGGAUAACAGGCUGAUACCGCCCAAGAGUUCAUAUCGACGGCGGUGUUUGGCACCUCGAUGUCGGCUCAUCAC